rnacentral:rRNA from 1 species
GGGUUGUGAGGUUAAGCGACUAAGCGUACACGGUGGAUGCCCUGGCAGUCAGAGGCGAUGAAGGACGUGCUAAUCUGCGAUAAGCGUCGGUAAGGUGAUAUGAACCGUUAUAACCGGCGAUUUCCGAAUGGGGAAACCCAGUGUGUUUCGACACACUAUCAUUAACUGAAUCCAUAGGUUAAUGAGGCGAACCGGGGGAACUGAAACAUCUAAGUACCCCGAGGAAAAGAAAUCAACCGAGAUUCCCCCAGUAGCGGCGAGCGAACGGGGAGCAGCCCAGAGCCUGAAUCAGUGUGUGUGUUAGUGGAAGCGUCUGGAAAGGCGCGCGAUACAGGGUGACAGCCCCGUACACAAAAAUGCACAUGCUGUGAGCUCGAUGAGUAGGGCGGGACACGUGGUAUCCUGUCUGAAUAUGGGGGGACCAUCCUCCAAGGCUAAAUACUCCUGACUGACCGAUAGUGAACCAGUACCGUGAGGGAAAGGCGAAAAGAACCCCGGCGAGGGGAGUGAAAAAGAACCUGAAACCGUGUACGUACAAGCAGUGGGAGCACGCUUAGGCGUGUGACUGCGUACCUUUUGUAUAAUGGGUCAGCGACUUAUAUUCUGUAGCAAGGUUAACCGAAUAGGGGAGCCGAAGGGAAACCGAGUCUUAACUGGGCGUUAAGUUGCAGGGUAUAGACCCGAAACCCGGUGAUCUAGCCAUGGGCAGGUUGAAGGUUGGGUAACACUAACUGGAGGACCGAACCGACUAAUGUUGAAAAAUUAGCGGAUGACUUGUGGCUGGGGGUGAAAGGCCAAUCAAACCGGGAGAUAGCUGGUUCUCCCCGAAAGCUAUUUAGGUAGCGCCUCGUGAAUUCAUCUCCGGGGGUAGAGCACUGUUUCGGCAAGGGGGUCAUCCCGACUUACCAACCCGAUGCAAACUGCGAAUACCGGAGAAUGUUAUCACGGGAGACACACGGCGGGUGCUAACGUCCGUCGUGAAGAGGGAAACAACCCAGACCGCCAGCUAAGGUCCCAAAGUCAUGGUUAAGUGGGAAACGAUGUGGGAAGGCCCAGACAGCCAGGAUGUUGGCUUAGAAGCAGCCAUCAUUUAAAGAAAGCGUAAUAGCUCACUGGUCGAGUCGGCCUGCGCGGAAGAUGUAACGGGGCUAAACCAUGCACCGAAGCUGCGGCAGCGACGCUUAUGCGUUGUUGGGUAGGGGAGCGUUCUGUAAGCCUGUGAAGGUGUGCUGUGAGGCAUGCUGGAGGUAUCAGAAGUGCGAAUGCUGACAUAAGUAACGAUAAAGCGGGUGAAAAGCCCGCUCGCCGGAAGACCAAGGGUUCCUGUCCAACGUUAAUCGGGGCAGGGUGAGUCGACCCCUAAGGCGAGGCCGAAAGGCGUAGUCGAUGGGAAACAGGUUAAUAUUCCUGUACUUGGUGUUACUGCGAAGGGGGGACGGAGAAGGCUAUGUUGGCCGGGCGACGGUUGUCCCGGUUUAAGCGUGUAGGCUGGUUUUCCAGGCAAAUCCGGAAAAUCAAGGCUGAGGCGUGAUGACGAGGCACUACGGUGCUGAAGCAACAAAUGCCCUGCUUCCAGGAAAAGCCUCUAAGCAUCAGGUAACAUCAAAUCGUACCCCAAACCGACACAGGUGGUCAGGUAGAGAAUACCAAGGCGCUUGAGAGAACUCGGGUGAAGGAACUAGGCAAAAUGGUGCCGUAACUUCGGGAGAAGGCACGCUGAUAUGUAGGUGAAGUCCCUUGCGGAUGGAGCUGAAAUCAGUCGAAGAUACCAGCUGGCUGCAACUGUUUAUUAAAAACACAGCACUGUGCAAACACGAAAGUGGACGUAUACGGUGUGACGCCUGCCCGGUGCCGGAAGGUUAAUUGAUGGGGUCAGCGCAAGCGAAGCUCUUGAUCGAAGCCCCGGUAAACGGCGGCCGUAACUAUAACGGUCCUAAGGUAGCGAAAUUCCUUGUCGGGUAAGUUCCGACCUGCACGAAUGGCGUAAUGAUGGCCAGGCUGUCUCCACCCGAGACUCAGUGAAAUUGAACUCGCUGUGAAGAUGCAGUGUACCCGCGGCAAGACGGAAAGACCCCGUGAACCUUUACUAUAGCUUGACACUGAACAUUGAGCCUUGAUGUGUAGGAUAGGUGGGAGGCUUUGAAGUGUGGACGCCAGUCUGCAUGGAGCCGACCUUGAAAUACCACCCUUUAAUGUUUGAUGUUCUAACGUUGACCCGUAAUCCGGGUUGCGGACAGUGUCUGGUGGGUAGUUUGACUGGGGCGGUCUCCUCCUAAAGAGUAACGGAGGAGCACGAAGGUUGGCUAAUCCUGGUCGGACAUCAGGAGGUUAGUGCAAUGGCAUAAGCCAGCUUGACUGCGAGCGUGACGGCGCGAGCAGGUGCGAAAGCAGGUCAUAGUGAUCCGGUGGUUCUGAAUGGAAGGGCCAUCGCUCAACGGAUAAAAGGUACUCCGGGGAUAACAGGCUGAUACCGCCCAAGAGUUCAUAUCGACGGCGGUGUUUGGCACCUCGAUGUCGGCUCAUCACAUCCUGGGGCUGAAGUAGGUCCCAAGGGUAUGGCUGUUCGCCAUUUAAAGUGGUACGCGAGCUGGGUUUAGAACGUCGUGAGACAGUUCGGUCCCUAUCUGCCGUGGGCGCUGGAGAACUGAGGGGGGCUGCUCCUAGUACGAGAGGACCGGAGUGGACGCAUCACUGGUGUUCGGGUUGUCAUGCCAAUGGCACUGCCCGGUAGCUAAAUGCGGAAGAGAUAAGUGCUGAAAGCAUCUAAGCACGAAACUUGCCCCGAGAUGAGUUCUCCCUGACUCCUUGAGAGUCCUGAAGGAACGUUGAAGACGACGACGUUGAUAGGCCGGGUGUGUAAGCGCAGCGAUGCGUUGAGCUAACCGGUACUAAUGAACCGUGAGGCUUAACCUUACAACGCCGAAG